GCGCCUGCACGUGUGUAUUUGUACUACAGCCUGCUACGCACAUCCACAGAUGGUGACUGCUGAUGGGUCAAUCGUUUGUAUACUUGUGAAAUUCGUGUAUAUAAAGUGCUUAUAAGAUAGAAAUGGAAGAAGGUGCAUUAAUUAACAAAAAAAGGGACGAAGAAAUAUCGAAAGAAAAUAAAAAAACAAAAGAAAAAAAGGAAUAAAAAUCGGAAAUAUCAAUGUGCAUGGCGUCAGCGU